rnacentral:rRNA from 1 species
AUAUCUGUAGUAACAUAGAGUCUAAAUACAUGCAACAUAGUCUGACUUUUGGAAGGACUAGCACUUAUUAGAUAUUAAACCAGUCCCAGCAAUGGGGUUUUUAUGGGUGAUUCAUAGUAACUGAACAAAUCACACGGUCUUGUACUGGUGAUGUUUCAUUCAAAUUUCUGCCCUAUCAACUAGAUGGUAGUAUAUAGGACUACCAUGGUUGUAACGGGUAACGGAGGAUUAGGGUUUUGAUUCCGGAGAAGGAGCAUGAGAAACGGCUACUAUUUCUAAGGAAAGCAGCAGGCGCGCAAAUUAUUCAAUGGAAACAAUUUUCCGAAAUAGUGACAAAAAAUAUCAAUGCUGGGCACUAUGUGUCUAGUAAUUGGAAUGAGUACAAUUUAAAUCCCUUAACAAGUAACAAUUAGAGGGCAGUCUGGUGCCAGCAGCCGCGGUAAUUCCAGCUCUAAUAGCGUAUAUU